rnacentral:rRNA from 1 species
CACGUAGGGCGCAAGCGUUGUCCGGAAUUAUUGGGCGUAAAGAGCUCGUAGGCGGUCUGUUGCGUCCGCUGUGAAAACUCGGGGCUUAACCCCGAGCCUGCAGUGGAUACGGGCAGACUAGAGGUAGGUAGGGGAGAAUGGAAUUCCCGGUGUAGAGGUGAAAUUCGUAGAUAUUCGGAGGAACACCAGUGGCGAAGGCGGCUCACUGGCUCGGUACUGACGCUGAGGUGCGAAAGCGUGGGGAGCAAACAGG